GGACAAUAACUUUGUGAACGUCCUGUGUAAUUACCGCCACGGACACAAUCUAUUUAUCCAACAUCUUCUUCGUUACUAAGAUUCAUUGUACCCUUUUUUUUUUGGGUUUUUGCAAAUCACUGUAUCGAUUAAAGCGGAAAUUUUGUAGGAUUUCAGUUCAUCUACAAGUUGUUUUGCUGCUUUUUGAGCCCCAGAGGUUUUCUCCUGGUGUGCUGAAAUGAAGGGUGGCAGUGAAAGUGGAUACGGUAUACAAAUACUUCAAUCAACAUUUGGUGUUUCUCGAAUGGGUGGCUCUACUAUGCGUCAAUCUUCGUCUAAUCUUGGUCCUGAUACCAGCAAGAGAAUCGGUGUGCCUCCUUCUCACCCAAAUAAUCCACAGAUUAUGGCCUCUCGUUCGGGUUCGCAGAAUUUGUGCCGAGGGCCUUCCCAUUCGAGGUCCUUGUCUCAAUCGGCUGUGUUUUCGCUCGAUUGCUUGCCUCCAUUGAGUCCUUUGCCUUGCGUGUCAUCUGGGUCCAAUCAAUCUCACCCUGUUUUGACUGAUAUUUUAAUGGAAGAUAAAGGUGCUGGGGAUUCUCAUGGGAUGAUAUCGAUUCCUUCUCCACUUACCAGAACUAAUGGUUUACGGGUCAAUGAGAGCUUGCCCUCUCGCAGAGGACAUAGGCGGUCAAUGAGUGAUAGUAUCCCCUUAGGAUUCUCUGCAAUGAUCCAAUCUUCCCCCCAGUUGAUGCCUAUUGGGAGAAGAGGAGCUUUGGAUCGUUCUUCUUCUAGAAGGGAAAAUUCAGGGAUGGAAAAGUCGAGCGAGUUGGUGAAGCGGGAAUUGGAGUGGAGUAGGGAUGGAAAUGACAAUGGAGAUGGGAAAUCUGAGGGAGAGGCUGUAAUUGACUUGUUAAAUGCUUGCGUGAAUGUUGAUAAUAUGGAUACAUUGAACUCGUCUGGGAUUGAGCAUAAGGAUUUGGAUAGCAUAGUAAGUGGCACAAAGACAAAUGGAGCUGAAAGCAGUGAUAAUGAAGUGGAAAGUAGAAUAAAAGAAGGGCUUAAGAGAAGUGCCGAUGGAGAUAUUGCACGGGCUUCCCGGCAUUAUAGAAGUGUUUCAAUGGAUAGCUACAUGGGAAAUUUGCAGUUUGAUGGUGAGUCUUUGAAAUUUCCUCCCCUCGGGGCUCAAGGGAGCCAGCAGUCGCCAACAAAUUUAAUGGAUGGGAAGUUGGCCAAGUUCAAUUUGGAACUUGGAAAUGCCGAAUUCACUGAAGAAGAGCUGAAAAAGAUAAUGGCAAACGAGAAACUUGCAGAGAUUGCGAUGGCUGACCCCAAACGUGCCAAAAGGAUUUUAGCCAAUCGUCUGUCAGCAGCCCGCUCCAAAGAGCGGAAAACGCGGUACAUUUCAGAAUUAGAGCACAAGGUGCAAACUUUACAGGCAGAAGCAACUACGUUGUCUGCUCAGGUUACGGCACUACAGCGAGAUUCUGCAGCUCUUACAAGCCAGAACAAUGAAUUGAAAUUCUGUCUUCAGGCAAUGGAACAGCAAGCCAAACUCAAAGAUGGUAGGUUUUCUUUUCUGUAUUGCCAGCUUCUUAUGCAAACUAUUAUCUUUUCAUUACUAUUUUGUUAAAAAAUGUUUUCAUAUCAAUGUUUUGUUAGAUUUAUCACAUUUGAGUGCAAACACAUAGUUCCUUCAUGUCUCUUUUUUGGCUCCUCGCAAUACUUUGAGUUAGCUUACUAGAUUGCUUUCAGUAGCAUUUUCUUUUGCCUUAGGUGGUCACAAGGUAUUAUUGUAUUGCUUGACUUCUAUAAUUGCUGAUUUAAUCUCACCUGAAGGAUGAUUUUCUUUUGCAUGUUUAUCCCCAAAAGUUUGUGUCUUACAAGUAGGAAAAAUAAAACACGGAGGUAAGCUGUUUCUGAUUUUGUAAGUUAGUAGUCUAUGAUUCAAAUUGUUUGGAAAAUGAGUAGAGAACAACCUUUCCUUUUGUUUGACAAUGAAUGGCCUUAUGCAACCAUUGUGGUCAAAGAAAGAUGACUACUCUUGUCAUGGUUCAUGCUGAUGGCCUUGUCAAUCUUUUACUUGUGUUGAGAAUGAUAUACAAUCAAUGCAGCCUGAUUUGUUAAAUAUUUAGAGCUGGUAAGAGGAGGAACCAUGUGUUGAGUUUUCUACUAUUAGAAUGGCUAAAAGAAGAAUAAUGGUUAAAAUAAGUCCUGCACCCCAAGAUGGUCUUGGAUUAUGAUUAACACUUGCACUAUGGCAAUGUGGAGGAAUAUACACUGGCUGAUUCUUUGAAGCCAAAGAGAACAUCCUGAAAAUUCUCUUAUUGGUAUUGAUUUUGCAUUUUCAUCUCAAUGCAGUUGUGAAUAAUUUUUCAUCUCAUAUUUUUAUGUAUGUAUAUUUUUUCUUCUAUUGGUUCUUGGGGAGUGAUUCUGGGUAUUGAUGCCAUGAUCCCCACCUUAGUACCUUGGGUGACCCAAUCGCGUCAGUCCCUGCAACUCUAACUUAUCAAACUUCAUUGUGAUGUAUUAGAAUCCUUUGGAUGUCAUAGGCUGCUUGGGAUUACCAGAUUUAUUUAUUGUAUCUGGCCUGUCUGAUAUGGCAGCUUUAAAUGAAACAUUAGUUGCAGAGGUUCAGCACCUAAGGCUUGCAGCUGCAGAGCUCAAGGGAGACACCUAUCAGCAAGUUUCCAUUGAUCAUCUUCAGCAACCCACUCAACUCAACAGAUAUCAUUUCCAGCAACAGCAGAAAGAACUGCAACUGAGGCAGCAACAUCGGCAUUAACCAUUGGCUGUUUGCUUAUUCCAAUUGCACAGUGUCUUAUCCUGAUUAGAGAUCAGCAUAGUCUAAAGUCAUAUAGAAAUUCAAAUUCCUGUAUUUCAUUAGCAUUUUUCUCUUUUUUCUUUUUGUGGGGAAUUUUUGUUGGGGGGAUAUUACCACACCAUUAAUCUGUUCAUUGGGGUUUGUAAUUUGUAUGUUUUGCAUUUGCCAAACGCAUCCUCCCCUUUUUUUACUGGCCUGUUUGGUAUGACUGUUGGAAUUGCUAUUGAGAAAAUC
rnacentral:misc_RNA from 1 species